rnacentral:rRNA from 1 species
AUUGAACGCUGGCGGCAGGCCUAACACAUGCAAGUCGAGCGGAUGAAGGGAGCUUGCUCCUGGAUUCAGCGGCGGACGGGUGAGUAAUGCCUAUGAAUCUGCCUGGUAGUGGGGGAUAACGUCCGGAAACGGGCGCUAAUACCGCAUACGUCCUGAUGGAGAAAGUGGGUGAUCUUCGGACCUCACGCUAUCAGAUGAGCCUAGGUCGGAUUAGCUAGUUGGUGGGGUAAAGGCCUACCAAGGCGACGAUCCGUAACUGGUCUGAGAGGAUGAUCAGUCACACGGGAACUGAGACACGGUCGAGACUCCUACGGGAGGCAGCAGUGGGGAAUAUUGGACAAUGGGCGAAAGCCUGAUACAGCCAUGCCGCGUGUGUGAAGAAGGUCUUCGGAUUGUAAAGCAAUUUAAGUUGGGAGGAAGGGCAGUAAGUUAAUACCGUGCUGUUUUGACGUUACCAACAGAAUAAGCACCGGCUAACUUCGUG